UACAGGUCAGGAGAUGCAUACCAAAGAAAUAAACAGUGAACUGGACCAUAAUGACAGCUAACGUUCAAACGUCCUUGAAUUUUUUAAAUUUCUAUCCAAACACAUUUUGUCAUUUUGAAUGGGUUGGGGGUUUUUUUUGUAUAAAAUUGGAGCAAUUCUUUCCCGUAAUGAAAUUUUGCAAAGUAGGUACAAACUAUGCCUCAUUAUUAUAAGCUGCAUCAAUAACUUUGCUCAGAAAGAUACUUAUGUUCUUUCCCUUUAUUUUUUUAAACUCUUUAAAUUACAGCUUUGGAAUAUUAUAAGAAUAUAAUUUGAUGCAACUUAAGAACUCAGAAUAAUAACUAGUUUCUAAAAAACAUAUUUAAUAAUGCUGUAUUUAUCUGUAGACAAGAUGGUGGUUAAGCUGUUAAUGAAAUGCAGAUGGUCCUGUUUUAAAGUACAAAUGCUUCUUUACUCAAUAUGCUAAGCUUUAGAGGAGUUUUAAUAUAAUCUCUAAAGGUUGAGAAUGAUAUAGUAUUUGUAAAAUGAGUGAAUUGUGAAAGAAACCUUGAUUGUUUAUGUGUCAUUGAAGAAUUUACUAGGAAAAUUAGUCAAAGGCCUCUCGGGGGACUUAGCAUUUUGCUACAGAUAAGGUGAAGAUAAUUUUUUUCAAGCACAGAAAUCUGAAAAUCUUCAUCCUUGUGUUGCAGAUUAAGAACAUCAGGUGCAUCAUGUUGAGUGUUGAGGGUAAAAAAUGAAAAAGCAUCCAUCAUGUCCAGCUUCUCUA